rnacentral:lncRNA from 1 species
AAACCAAUCAAUUUAGUUCUUUUGUUCAGCUCGAUUCAAAAUUACCACAAUAAAAAAUAGUUUAGUUGGUUUUCUGAUCGUAACCAAAUCAUUUAAUGAGAUACUCAGCUAGUAACUCCCAUUACUUCUUCCAUCAGAUGCCAUUUCUACAAUCAGAAAACCUAAGCAAAACAUGCUAUCAAUUUUAUUUUUUUUGAGGCAAUAAACAAUUUAAAAAACACAAAAAUAGAUUAAAUUACUUUAACUUACAGCUUGAUUAUCUAAAUAUUUUUCUGCUUUUUGACAUAGACUCUACAAAUGAUUAUAUUUCAAAAUUUAAUUUUAAGUUAAAAUAAUUUAUUUUUCAUUCAUAAAGACUUUUUUUAUUUAUUUUACAUACAAAAAUUUAUUUUAUAAUAAUUUUAAUUAAACAUAAAAAUAUUUUUUAAUCUGUAUUUUUUAAACUAUAAACACAAUACCCAACACAAGCUAAACAGGAGACUCCAUAUCAACUAACCAAACAGACUCUAGGAAAAGGAGCACCAAAAAAUUUAUUGAUGACAGAAUUGCUUUCCUGCGAAGUAAUAAAAAAUAACCGUGGGGCCACAAGUCACCAAAAAAGAAACCAGUGCUUUACAGAAAAUAAGUCAAAAUAGUGAGUACAUUCUCCACAGAGAAAUUUUAAUCCACCAUUUUUUCUUCUAGGAUAACAUAAAAUGACCACACCUAGCCCCUUGCGCGUGGAAAUAGAACUGCCCGAGCACAAACUAUUUUGAAAGAAACUAACUAGACCUUUACAGAAAGGAACUGAACCCCAAAACUAACAAUUUCCAGAAGUAGGGCGAAAAUAAUGAAAGCCAGAGUAACCAUUCGCCUCUGUAUUAAGAGCUAACUAAUAAAAACCAACAUCAAUAAAAACAUUGAAGAUAAUUGCUUUACACCUGACAUGGCAAAAUAAAAUAGAAAAAUUGAAGCACUUUAGAUUUGUUUUCUUUUUUUAUAUUUGGGUUCGAUCUAUUUUGUAUGUCUUUUAUCUCCACGGUGUCGGUGUCAUAUUAUUUACUGGGCUUGCAGAAUAUUUAAUGGAUUUAAAGAUUGCUAAUAAUAUAAGCUAGUCCAAAUAUCUUAUGCUAUCAUAAACAAAAAAAAUACAAAACAAAGAAAGAUUGAAACAAACAUGAUUGGAGCAUCAAUCCCACAAUCUAGAGACAGGUAACAUUAACUUCAAAAUAAGCUUUAACCAGCUAAUUCGCUGAGUAAGUCCAGCAGAGAUGGAUUUAAAUUAUGUACAAUUUAAAGUUAACCAAGUGAGUGUAUAAUCAUU